CAACCGGAGGAGGCGGCGGCCACCACACCACUCCGGCACCACCAACAGGAGGCGGCGGCGGUGGAUACUAUCACUCCCCUCCUACUACACCCACAACUCCUACAACUCCUACUACACCCACAACUCCAAUUGUGAAUCCACCAACAACUCCCAUUGUAAAUCCACCAACCACUCCCAUUAUAACACCACCAACUACUCCAAUCGUUAUACCAGGGACUCCCGGAAUCACUAUACCAUCACC
rnacentral:lncRNA from 1 species